CAAAAAUUGCAUCCGCGACCGAAGACAGCAGGGGCCAGUGGCUUAAUCAUCCUGCCGAGGUGCGCAAACCGGCAGACUGCUCCUGUAGCUCACCUGCCCUUUGCCCAGCCUCGCUUCAAAAAGCGGGGCUUUUGAUUUGUUGAC
rfam:Gloeobacter kilaueensis JS1, complete genome.